rnacentral:piRNA from 1 species
UAUAAAGGGAUAUGGCAAUGCCACUGAAGGA